rnacentral:rRNA from 1 species
AACGUAGGAGACAAACGUUAUCCGGAGUUACUGGGCGUAAAGGGCGUGUAGGUGGUUUCGUAAGUCUGGCGUGAAAUUUUUCGGCUUAACCGGGAAAGGUCGUCGGAUACUGCGAGGCUAGAGGACGGUAGAGGCGUGUGGAAUUCCGGGUGUAGCGGUGAAAUGCGCAGAUAUCGGGAGGAACACCAAUGGCGAAGGCAGCUCGCUGGGACGGUACUGACGCUGAGGUGCGAAAGCGUGGGGAGCAAACAGG